rnacentral:rRNA from 1 species
CUACGGGGCGCUCCAGUGAGGAAUAUUGCACAAUGGGGGAAACCCUGAUGCAGCAACGCCGCGUGGAGGAUGACGCAUUUCGGUGUGUAAACUCCUUUUAUGAGUCAAGAAAAUGACGGUAGCUCAUGAAUAAGCACCGGCUAACUCCGUGCCAGCAGCCGCGGUAAUACGGAGGGUGCAAGCGUUACUCGGAAUCACUGGGCGUAAAGGACGCGUAGGCGGGUGGUCAAGUCAGGUGUGAAAUCCUACAGCUUAACUGUAGAACUGCACUUGAAACUGGCAACCUAGAGUAUGGGAGGGGGAGAUGGAAUUAGUGGUGUAGGGGUAAAAUCCGUAGAUAUCACUAGGAAUACCGAAAGCGAAGGCGAUCUCCUGGAACUUUACUGACGCUAAGGCGUGAAAGCGUGGGGAGCAAACAGGAUUAGAUACCCGCGUAGUC